rnacentral:rRNA from 1 species
UACGUAGGGGGCGAGCGUUGUCCGGAAUCAUUGGGCGUAAAGAGCGUGUAGGUGGGCCGGAAGGUCUGGUGUGAAAGCCCGGGGCUCAACCUCGGAAUUGCCUUCAAUACUGGCUGUCUUGAGUGUGAGAGAGGUGUGUGGAACUCCGAGUGUAGAGGUGAAAUUCGUAGAUAUUCGGAAAAACACCAGUGGCGAAGGCGACACACUGGCUCACUACUGACGCUGAGGCGCGAAAGCGUGGGGAGCAAACAGG